GAUGAACGCUAGCUACAGGCUUAACACAUGCAAGUCGAGGGGAAACGCCAUCGAAAGCUUGCUUUUGAUGGGCGUCGACCGGCGCACGGGUGAGUAACGCGUAUCCAACCUGCCCACCACUUGGGGAUAACCUUGCGAAAGUAAGACUAAUACCCAAUGACGUCUCUAGAAGACAUCUGAAAGAGAUUAAAGAUUUAUCGGUGAUGGAUGGGGAUGCGUCUGAUUAGCUUGUUGGCGGGGUAACGGCCCACCAAGGCGACGAUCAGUAGGGGUUCUGAGAGGAAGGUCCCCCAAAUUGGAACUGAGACACGGUCCAAACUCCUACGGGAGGCAGCAGUGAGGAAUAUUGGUCAAUGGACGAGAGUCUGAACCAGCCAAGUAGCGUGCAGGAUGACGGCCCUAUGGGUUGUAAACUGCUUUUAUAAGGGAAUAAAGUGAGUCUCGUGAGACUUUUUGCAUGUACCUUAUGAAUAAGGACCGGCUAAUUCCGU
rnacentral:rRNA from 1 species